rnacentral:rRNA from 1 species
UACGAGGGGGGCGAGCGUUGUUCGGAAUUAUUGGGCGUAAAGGGUGCGUAGGCGGCCUGACAAGUCUGAUGUGAAAUCCCUGGGCUCAACCCAGGGCCUGCAUCGGAAACUGUCGGGCUUGAGUAUGGGAGAGGUGAGUGGAAUUUCCGGUGUAGCGGUGAAAUGCGUAGAUAUCGGAAGGAACACCUGUGGCGAAAGCGGCUCACUGGACCAUUACUGACACUGAGGCACGAAAGCUAGGGGAGCAAACAGG